rnacentral:rRNA from 1 species
AGAGUUUGAUCCUGGCUCAGGAUGAACGCUGGCGGCGUGCCUAACACAUGCAAGUCGAGCGGCAGCGAGUUUUACACUGAAUUCUGGAAGCUUCUGGGUAAUGUAGAAGAUUUAUUCAAGAAUUUUGUGUAAAAUGUCGGCGAGCGGCGGACGGCUGAGUAACGCGUGGGAACGUACCCCAAAGUGAGGGAUAACGCAUCGAAAGGUGUGCUAAUACCGCAUAUGGUCUUCGGAUUAAAGCCUUCGGGCGCUUUGGGAACGGCCUGCGUAAGAUUAGAUAGUUGGUGGGGUAAUGGCCUACCAAGUCGACGAUCUUUAACUGGUUUGAGAGGAUGAUCAGUCAGACUGGAACUGAGACACGGUCCAGACUCCUACGGGAGGCAGCAGUGAGGAAUCUUCCACAAUGGGCGAAAGCCUGAUGGAGCAACGCCGCGUGCAGGAUGAAGGCCUUCGGGUUGUAAACUGCUUUUAUAAGUGAGGAUUAUGACAGUAACUUAUGAAUAAGGAUCGGCUAACUACGUGCCAGCAGCCGCGGUCAUACGUAGGAUCCGAGCGUUAUCCGGAGUGACUGGGCGUAAAGAGUUGCGUAGGUGGUUCGAUAAGCGAAUAGUGAAAUCUGGUGGCUCAACCAUUCAGACUAUUAUUCGAACUGUUGAACUCGAGAGCAGAAGAGGUAGCUGGAAUUUCUAGUGUAGGAGUGAAAUCCGUAGAUAUUAGAAGGAACACCGAUGGCGUAGGCAGGUUACUGGGCCAUUUCUGACGCUAAGGCACGAAAGCGUGGGGAGCGAACCGGAUUAGAUACCCGGGUAGUCCACGCCGUAAACGAUGGAUACUAGCUGUUUGGGGUAUCGACCCCCUGAGUAGCGAAGCUAACGCGUUAAGUAUCCCGCCUGUGGAGUACGAUCGCAAGAUUAAAACAUAAAGGAAUUGACGGGGACCCGCACAAGCGGUGGAUCAUGUUCUUUAAUUCGAUGAUAACCGAUAAACCUUACCAGGUCUUGACAUCCUUGGAAUCUUUCAGAAAUGAGAGAGUGCUUUUUAAGAGCCAAGUGACAGGUGAUGCAUGGCCGUCGUCAGCUCGUGUCGUGAGAUGUUUGGUUAAGUCCAUCAACGAGCGCAACCCUUGUGAAUAGUUGUAUUUUUCUAUUCAGACUGCCCCGGU